rnacentral:misc_RNA from 1 species
CGGAACCGUGUCACCAGAAGGCAAGGUCGAGGUAGAUUUCAUAUAUGAGCCGCCACAGCAAGGGACUGAGGACAAUUUACUGUUUUUCCGAGAUCCCGAUGAGGAAAGAUUGGUAGAAGCAAUUGCAGUUGGGUUGGGGAUGAGGAAAGUUGGGUUUAUAUUCACGCAGACGAUUAGUCAGGACAAAAAGGACUACACCUUAUCCAACAGGGAAGUACUCCAGGCGGCUCAGUUUCACUCCGAGAGCGAG